UCAUUAUAAAUAAUCUUUGGAAACAGAACUACGUAUUGUCAUAGAAAAAAUUGAUUCUCAAAACAACGUAGAGACACUUUAUGGCGAAACCUUGUUUGUUGUUACCUUGCUUGAUAAUUUUAUUUCUUCUAGCAUCUGAAACUGGUUUUGCAAACGCACAAUGUGCCAAAUGCAAAUCCUCAGAUCAAUGUAAAAAUUGCUCUGAUGCAGAUCGUUUCGGUUGCACAAAGGAAUGCUUUAAUGGAUGUUGUCGUUGUAAAUGUCGUCCACCUAGGGAAAAUGUUUGAUAAAGGACAAUAAUUUUGAAUAAGACUAUAAUAAAAUAAAGUUGAGGUUUUCAUGGUUUAAAUAUAAUGAAAUGCAAAAGUUCCAUGCUUCUGAAGUGGAAUUCAUUCGUAA